AACGAACGCUGGCGGCGCGCCUAAUACAUGCAAGUCGAGCGAGAAGACGUAGCAAUACGUUUGUAAAGCGGCGAACGGGUGAGGAAUACAUGGGUAACCUACCCUCGAGUGGGGAAUAACUAGCCGAAAGGUUAGCUAAUACCGCGUACGCUCCUUGGACUUCGGUUCAGGGAGGAAAGCGAUACCGUGGGUAUCGCGCUCUUGGAUGGGCUCAUGUCCUAUCAGCUUGUUGGGAGGUAACGGCUCACCAAGGCUUCGACGGGUAGCUGGUCUGAGAGGACGAUCAGCCACACUGGCACUGCGACACGGGCCAGACUCCUACGGGAGGCAGCAGUAAGGAAUAUUGCGCAAUGGGCGAAAGCCUGACGCAGCGACGCCGCGUGGGGG
rnacentral:rRNA from 1 species